CCUCGAUGAACAAAGGGAAGCUUCACGCACUCGGCUGCGGUGGUUUGCCCAAGGAAGAAACCUGGUGGUCAUCAUAGACUGUGUCCUGUUCUUUACUACUUCUGCCCAGCAAACCCACACACUCAUCCAGUGACCCAAUUACUUUUGUAACUCUCCAAAAGACUCAUAGAAAAUCAAGCUGAUUUACUACCAAGAUGUACAGUGGAAAAAAAAUUACCUUAACAAUGAGACAAAUGAUCCACAUUGCUAUAAUUGUGUAAGAGGUGCUUUCUCAAUGUGCUUACUAUACU